CGAGUACGACCCGUUACGACGGGGAAGUGUCUGAUGUCAGGCUUCCAAGAAAAGCCCGAACCACGUUAAUUCAAAUUGGCCCGUACCCUAAACCGACACAGGUGGGAAGGUAGAGUAUACCCAGGGGCGCGAGAUAACUCUCUCUAAGGAACUCGGCAAAAUGGCCCCGUAACUUCGGGAGAAGGGGUGCCACCGAGAGGUGGUCGCAGUGAAGAGUCCCAGGCGACUGUUUACCAAAAACACAGGUCUCCGCUAAGUCGCAAGACGAUGUAUGGGGGCUGACGCCUGCCCAGUGCCGGAAGGUUAAGGAAGUUGGUCAGGGAGCAAUCCUGAAGCUAGCGACUGAAGCCCCGGUGAACGGCGGCCGUAACUAUAACAGUCCUAAGGUAGCGAAAUUCCUUGUCGGGUAAGUUCCGACCCGCACGAAAGGCGUAACGAUCUGGGAGCUGUCUCGGAGAGAGGCUCGGCGAAAUAGGAAUGUCUGUGAAGAUACGGACUACCUGCACCCGGACAGAAAGACCCUAUGAAGCUUUACUGUAGCUUGGUAUUGGGUUCGGGCUUUGAUUGCGCAGGAUAGGUGGGAGACUAUGAGAUAGCUCUUGUGGGAGUUAUGGAGUCACUGGUGAGAUACCACUCUAUCAAGGCUAGAAUUCUAACUUUGACCCGUUAUCCGGGCAGAGAACAGUAUCAGGUGGGCAGUUUGACUGGGGCGGUCGCCUCCUAAAUGGUAACGGAGGCGCGCAAAGGUUCCCUCAGGCUGGUUGGAAAUCAGCCAUUGAGUGUAAAGGCAUAAGGGAGCUUGACUGCGAGACUGACAAGUCGAGCAGGUACGAAAGUAGGCCUUAGUGAUUCGACGGUUCCGCGUGGAAGGGCCGUCGCUCAACGGAUAAAAGUUACUCUAGGAUAACAGGCUGAUCUCCCCCAAGAGUUCACAUCGGCGGGGAGGUUUGGCACCUCGAUGUCGGCUCAUCGCAACCUGGGGCUGUAGUCGGUCCCAAGGGUUGGGCUGUUCGCCCAUUAAAGCGGUACGUGAGCUGGGUUCAGAACGUCGUGAGACAGUUCGGUCCAUAUCCGGUGCAGGCGUAGGAACAUUGAGAGGAGUCUUCCUUAGUACGAGAGGACCGGGAAGAACGCACCGCUGGUGUACCUGUUAUCGUGCCAACGGUAAACGCAGGGUAGCCAAGUGCGGAGAGGAUAACCGCUGAAAGCAUCUAAGUGGGAAGCCCACCUCAAGAUGAGUGUUCCCAUGGCAAAAGCCAGUAAGGUCACGGGUAGACCACCCGUUAAUAGGCGCUAGAUGGAAGUCCAGCAAUGGAUGUAGUCGAGGCGUACUAACAGACC
rnacentral:rRNA from 1 species